rnacentral:lncRNA from 1 species
UCCAAGAUGGCUGCCCUCAAUCCAAGAUGGCCACCCCCAAUUCAGUGUGACCCCAACCCAAGAUGGCUGCCCCCCCAUCCCACCCUGCCUCAAAUCCAAGAUGGCUGCCCCCACCCAAGAUCUCCGCCCCCCAAUCCAACGAAUCCUCCCGGAAGCCAAGAUGUCCGCCACCGGAAGCGCCAUUGCUGAGUCUUUAUUGCUCACAGUCCGAUGGUGUAGGAGCGGCCGGCGGGGUUGUGCAGGGCGGAGCAGGCCGGCUCGGUCACGGCCCACUCGUACCAAACCUUCUGCGGCGCCGCACGGCGCCAGAACGACAGCACCACCGUCUGCCCUGCCUGCACCGCCAUUGGCUGCUGCGGGGAGAGGGGGCGGGGCUCAGCGACCAGGCGGCCAAUCGGGGAGGGUGUCCCAAGACUCCAUCAAUGGGUGGUUCCAAGAUGGCUGCCUACCCAACCACCAAUGAUGGAUCCGAGAUGGCUGCCCGCGGCCAAGAUGCAUCCAAGAUGGCUGCCCACAGCCAAGAUGGCUGCCCACCCACUCACCAAUGGAUAGAACCAAGAUGGCUGCCCACAACCAAGAUGGCCGCCCACCCAACCACUAAUGGAUGGAUCCAAGAUGGCUGCCACCCACCAAUGAUGGAUCCAAGAUGGCUGCCCACAGCCAAGAUGGCCGCCCACCCAACCACCAAUGGAUGAAUCCAAGAUGGCUGCCUACAAUUAAGAUGGCUGCCAGCCAGCAAUGGAUGGAUCCAAGAUGGCUGCCACCAACAGAACACAUGGGAUCCAAGAUGGCUGCCACCAAUGGGACACAAGCGGGCCCAAGAUGGCUGCCUCACAUCAAGAUGGCCACCCGACCGAAACCAAUGGAUGGAUUCAAGAUGGCCACCCCCAUUGAAGUCAAUGGACAGAUCCAAGAUGGCCACCCCAUCGAACCCAAUGGACGGAUCCAAGAUGGCUGCCCCAUUGAACCCAAUGGAUGAAUCCAAGAUGGCCGCCCCCACUGAGCCCAAUGGACGGAUCCAAGAUGGCCGCCCCCAGGCAUACCUUUAAAGGGAAGAAGAUGGGGAACCAGGAGAACAUCCCAGGCGAAUGCGUCUCUGGGCGGAUACCUGCGGGGCCACGCCCACCGUUAGCCCCGCCCCUUCCUCUCACUCUCAUUGGCUGCCACCAAACCACGCCCAUCAAUCCCAAGCCCCACCCCUAAAUCCCUACCCACACCCUUAUUGCCCACACUGGAAGCCCCGCCCCCUCCUCCCCAUCCCGCCCUCCGAUUGGCUGCAACCACCCCAUACCACGCCCCCUCCCCCUCCAAGCCCCGCCUUCCCUCCUUA